rnacentral:rRNA from 1 species
UACGAAGGGGGCGAGCGUUGUUCGGAAUGACUGGGCGUAAAGGGCGCGUAGGCGGCUCGUGAAGUCGGGUGUGAAAGCCCGGGGCUCAACCCCGGAACGGCAUCCGAUACUGGCGGGCUUGAGACCGGGAGAGGAGGGUGGAAUACCCAGUGUAGAGGUGAAAUUCGUAGAUAUUGGGUGGAACACCGGUGGCGAAAGCGGCUCUCUGGCCCGGAUCUGACGCUGAGGCGCGAAAGCGUGGGGAGCAAACAGG